CAACAGGGAUUGCCCCAGUAACGGCGAGUGAAGCGGCAACAGCUCAAAUUUGAAAUCUGGUCCCCAGGGCCCGAGUUGUAAUUUGUAGAGGAUGCUUUUGGCGAGGCGCCUUCCGAGUUCCCUGGAACGGGACGCCACAGAGGGUGAGAGCCCCGUCUGGUCGGAUGCCAAGCCUAUGUAAAGCUCCUUCGACGAGUCGAGUAGUUUGGGAAUGCUGCUCAAAAUGGGAGGUAUAUGUCUUCUAAAGCUAAAUACCGGCCAGAGACCGAUAGCGCACAAGUAGAGUGAUCGAAAGAUGAAAAGCACUUUGAAAAGAGGGUUAAAAAGUACGUGAAAUUGUUGAAAGGGAAGCGCCUAUGACCAGACUUGGGCCCGGUGAAUCAUCCAGCGUUCUCGCUGGUGCACUUUGCCGGGCACAGGCCAGCAUCAGUUUGGCGCGGGGGACAAAGGCUUCGGGAAUGUGGCUCCCCUCGGGGAGUGUUAUAGCCCGUUGCGCAAUACCCUGCGCCGGACUGAGGUACGCG
rnacentral:rRNA from 1 species